UGGGUAACCAAUCGUUUUGUCAAAAUCGUACUGCAAAGAGAGGCACCGCUCAGCGCUCACGUCCUGGCGCUAGGGUUUCCUCGCGGCGGCCCAGGUUCUCACAUCGAUGGGAUUGCGCCCGGAAGCCUGAAUCCAUUCUCCGAUGGAUUAUGUGCUGAUAAGAGAGAUGUAGCGGAGGAUGGGGUGUAUUUGCUGGACUCAAGCCGAUCUCACAGCCGCCGAGUAAGUGCAGGCUGCCGCGGAUUGGAGGAAUCUCAGUCAUCUAACCACAAGAUUUGAAAUUUCAGAGUAUAUCUGUCCAGAAGAAUGAUGCUUACAAAUUUAGCUUUUAGUGUUUCUGGAAUGCCAUUCUAUUUCUGUAAGAUACAAUACCAGGUAACAGGGUGAAAUAUCAUCAUCGUGUCAACCAAAAUUUGUCCUUUUUUUACUGAUUUAUCUGCCAUGACAAACUGCGCGUACAAAUUGUAAUCACACAACGAUAGGAGAUAGUAAUGCAGACAAAUUUAAGUUGUACUGGAAUGAUUGCUGUCGUUGUAUUUCUGCUAUAUAAUAUACUACACUAUAGGAAGUUGUUGUAGUAAAGGAAAAUAAAGAUUCAUUUAUCAGAUUCAAUGGUCAUGUUUUCGGCAACUUGGAAUCAAACAAUAAAAAAACAAAUAUUAUACUUUUCACGUGAUCGAUUCUUUGUGUUAAUAGAUACAAGAACGAUGCUAUACACAUGGCAAUUUCCGAACAAUUUUGGGAUGAUGCAGCACAUCAAGCCGUCUGUGCGUACUGCAAACCUGGACAGCACCGUCCAAUCCUCCAUCAUGCAAAGUUCACUUGGCAACUGUCGUCCGCGUAGUAGUUUCGUAGAUACAACACUGCAUUUUCUUUUUGUGGUUGUACAACCUGCAUAUUGGCCAUGGACUAGCUUGCGACCUGAGGUCUGGCUAUGUGCACUAAGUGCUCAUGCACAUGAGAAGAACACAAUUUUAGUUCUAGACAUGAAUCAUUAAAUUAUGACGUAUUAAAAAUUUAUGUACUGAUUUACUAUCAGGCAACAGCCAACCAUUUAAUUAUCACACGAACUUAUAUUCCUCAUGUUAUGACAUAGGCAACUGUCACUCUAGAACAUAUGAUGUGUCAUAAAGAAAAAUCUAUUCUGGUAUGAUAAGUGGAAUACAACACCUCUUAAGCUACAAUACCCUAACCAUUUCUCUUUUUCCCUUAGCAGUUUGUCCUUAGUUCAGCAAGUUUCUGAGACUGAUAAUCUCCAAGAGAUCUUUCACAGAGUUCUAAUUCAAGGAGAGGUGGCACACCCCAUAUUUAAGAAGAUUUGGAAAUCAGCAGUGAUUCAGCGAUACCAAAUUUUACUGUUGGUUUCUGAUCCAAGAUAGGCUCAGCACAAGAAGUCUGCUUCUCAGGAAAUCAUUUCACCUCCCCUCCUACCAAUGUGUGCUAUGUAAUGAGCAAAUUGAGACCACAUUGCACCUCUUUUUGGACUGCUCAUUUGCUCUACAAUGCUGGCACCUGAUCACUCCUAAUAAGAAGAGGGACAGAUCUGUCAUUCAGGAAAUCAUGCUGGCUUUGAAUGAAUUACCAAAUGGAGUGGCCAUGAACAUUGUCAUUAUGAGUUGCUGGCAUAUUUGGAUGCAAGGGAACAACAAGAUCUUUAAGCAUAUUAAUCCAUCACCACAUAAUGGAAGCUGCUACGCAAGAAAGAUUUACAGUUGCUACAUCAUAGAAUUAGGCACUAGCUCCUUCAAGUUUUUCAAGACUGCAUUGCCACACGUUUGUACUCCGAAAGAUCCUUGAGUUAGAUGGGCUUGCCAUCUCCUUUCUUUUUGAUCCCUUUUGUACAUACACUUUUAAUUGCUUUUAAUGAAAAUUACAAUCGAACAAUUGGUAUA